rnacentral:rRNA from 1 species
GUGGGGAAUAUUGCACAAUGGGCGAAAGCCUGAUGCAGCAACGCCGCGUGAGGGACGACGGCCUUCGGGUUGUAAACCUCUUUUAGUAGGGAAGAAGCGAAAGUGACGGUACCUGCAGAAAAAGCACCGGCUAACUACGUGCCAGCAGUCGCGGUAAUACGUAGGGUGCAAGCGUUAUCCGGAAUUAUUGGGCGUAAAGAGCUCGUAGGCGGUCUGUCGCGUCUGCUGUGAAAACUGGAGGCUCAACCUCCAGCCUGCAGUGGGUACGGGCAGACUAGAGUGCGGUAGGGGAGAUUGGAAUUCCUGGUGUAGCGGUGGAAUGCGCAGAUAUCAGGAGGAACACCGAUGGCGAAGGCAGAUCUCUGGGCCGUAACUGACGCUGAGGAGCGAAAGCGUGGGGAGCGAACAGGAUUAGAAACCCCUGUAGUCC